UCUUGGUCUGCCUUUCCGACGCCCAACUGCAAUGUUGACUGGUAUUCGCGAUGCGUGGUCCUAUGAGGAUUUGUUGUGUUGGCAGCACAUGGGAGAUGUUUCUGGUUCUACACACAGCUCUGUUGUACUGGACAGGGCUGGAAUAGAGUCACUGCAGGGAUCAGGCAAAGGAGGUAUCGCUUCACUUUCUGGUUCCAAUGGAUCCAUACAACAAGGUCCAAUGAAGGCAGACUUUUGUGAAGACUCCAAGCAAAGAGACAUGCUGCAAGAUGAAUAGCUUAAACUAUCACUGUCAGGUAGUUUCUUGUCGGUGGAAAUGUUUAUUGUGUCAUUUUCAUCUGGGAUGGACAGCACAGGUAGAGUCUCUGUGUUUGGUUCAUGCACCUGUGCUCCAGUUUGAUUGUCUGUGAAUGGUUCUGCAGACCACUCAGGGUCAUUUGUGGAAAGUUGCAAGGGGUCCAUCAGGACUUGGGGAUAUUCACUGGCCCAAGCAGUCAAACUGGAACUCCACAAUUUCUAGGACCAGGCUCUGUGUCCAGGGAUGAAUUACUGAUGUCUCUUUCUGCUAUUCCCUCUUUUGAUUCUGGGAUUCAGUGCCUGAAAAGAAACAAAUUCAAUCAUCAUUAGAACUCGUUGGUCAUCUGUGAAUAAUAAACCACCUGAAAAUGUCUUAAAAA